rnacentral:misc_RNA from 1 species
AAUUCUCAAAAACCUGUUCUUUAACAAGAAAAGGAUUUUUGGACUUGGAGGUUUAAUGCUGGCCUUUGUCUUGAAAGCAAGCUCCUCUGAAAUAGAUUAGUAGGAUCUGCUUUGCUGAUUCUUAAUGUGAUAAGAUGUUUCUACAUUUUGGAUUUAGCACUGUCUUUUGGAUGCCUGCUUCUAACUGUCUUAUGGACAAUGAUGGUGUCUCCGGUCACUGCUAUUUAUAUUGGCAGGAGGCUAGACCCACAUAAAAGAAAAAA